CCUACGGGAGGCAGCAGUGGGGAAUUUUGGACAAUGGGCGCAAGCCUGAUCCAGCCAUGCCGCGUGCGGGAAGAAGGCCUUCGGGUUGUAAACCGCUUUUGUCAGGGAAGAAAAGGUUCUGGCUAAUACCUGGGACUCAUGACGGUACCUGAAGAAUAAGCACCGGCUAACUACGUGCCAGCAGCCGCGGUAAUACGUAGGGUGCAAGCGUUAAUCGGAAUUACUGGGCGUAAAGCGUGCGCAGGCGGUUAUGCAAGACAGAGGUGAAAUCCCCGGGCUCAACCUGGGAACUGCCUUUGUGACUGCAUAGCUAGAGUGCGGCAGAGGGGGAUGGAAUUCCGCGUGUAGCAGUGAAAUGCGUAGAUAUGCGGAGGAACACCGAUGGCGAAGGCAAUCCCCUGGGCCUGCACUGACGCUCAUGCACGAAAGCGUGGGGAGCAAACAGGAUUAGAUACCCUGGUAGUCCACGCCCUAAACGAUGUCAACUGGUUGUUGGGAGGGUUUCUUCUUCAGUAACGUAGCUAACGCGUGAAGUUGACCGCCUGGGGAGUACGGCCGCAGGUUGAAACUCAAGGAAUUGACGGCGUGAGACGNGCGACGACGACGACGAGGGAGGAGG
rnacentral:rRNA from 1 species